UGAGGAAUCUUGGACAAUGGGCGACAGCCUGAUCCAGCUAUCUUGCGUGAGGGAUGAAGGCUAUUUUGGUUGUAAACCUCUUUUUAUUGUUUGAGCUUAUGACAAGAACAAUACAAAAAGUCCCGGCAAAUUCCGUGCCAGCAGCCGCGGUAAGACGGGAGGGGCAAGCGUUAUUCGGAAUGACUGGGCGUAAAGGGCAUGUAGGUGGAUUGUGUAUGAUACGGUGAGAAAGUCUACCUUUGUGGAAUAUUUCGUAUUCUAGCAAUCUUGAGCCGGUAAGAGGUCAGUGGAAUGUCAAGUGGAGAGGUUAAAUUCGUAGAUAUUUGAAGGAACACCGAACGCGAAGGCAGCUGACUGGGACCAAGCUGACACUGAGAUGCGAAGGCAUACGUAUCGAAGCGG
rnacentral:rRNA from 1 species